AGUGAACGCUGGCGGUAGGCCUAACACAUGCAAGUCGAACGGCAGCACAGUAAGAGCUUGCUCUUACGGGUGGCGAGUGGCGGACGGGUGAGGAAUACAUCGGAAUCUACUUUUUCGUGGGGGAUAACGUAGGGAAACUUACGCUAAUACCGCAUACGACCUACGGGUGAAAGCAGGGGAUCUUCGGACCUUGCGCGAUUGAAUGAGCCGAUGUCGGAUUAGCUAGUUGGCGGGGUAAAGGCCCACCAAGGCGACGAUCCGUAGCUGGUCUGAGAGGAUGAUCAGACACACUGGAACUGAGACACGGUCCAGACUCCUAAGGGAGGCAGCAGUGGGGAAUAUUGGACAAUGGGCGCAAGCCUGAUCCAGCCAUACCGCGUGGGUGAAGAAGGCCUUCGGGUUGUAAAGCCCUUUUGUUGGGAAAGAAAAGCAGCAGGUUAAUACCCCGCUGUUCUGACGGUACCCAAAGAAUAAGCACCGGCUAACUUCGUG
rnacentral:rRNA from 1 species